CCUUCUAAUUGUUAUUUGUAAUUAUUUUUGAUUUCUUUUAACGUUUCGCGAUUCUAGCGCUUACUUCCGAGAACGACACCCUUCCCCCCCCCCACUUCUCCUUCCCCGGGAGGCCUCGGCGGGGCCCGGCGGUGUUCGGGGUGCGGGGAGUGCAGGGACCCCCCCCGACCCCCGCGCCGCACGGAGCCGCCCCGAGGCGCGGGGAUGGGCGGGGGCGGGAGCAGCGGCGGCGGCGGCGGCGGCGGCGGCAGCGGCACAUCCUUCCCCCGCGCCCCCCUCCUCCCUCCUCCCCCUUCGGCUUCAAAACAAACCGUCACCAAAAUGGUGCAGAGGUGAAGGAGGGAGCGGGAGGAAGGGGAAGAGGUGGCGGCUCGGCCCGGGCGCUGCGGGGACAGUUGGAUUGAGGAGCGGUGGCUGCAGCUCAUCCCUGGCAGGAGCAGAAGAUGCAGGAGGCUGCGUAGCAGGUUUCUGAGCACUGCUGCCAUCUCAGCCCCGCUGGAUCUGGCUGCGUAUGACGGUACCAUGAACUGAGCACGGAGCCACGCAAAACUCCUUUUUUUUUUUUUUUUUCGUUUUGGCUUCUUUUGGGUUUGUUUUCCGCCCGAGAAAAAAGCCCCCCACGCUCUUUAAUGAAAGCGUUUUAAAGCGGGGUCACUCCUCCCCUCCCCUGAGCCGAAGUCGUGCCGGGUGCGGUGAGGAUUUCCGGAGAAGAUGGGGAGAAAAAAGAUCCAGAUCCAGCGGAUCACGGACGAGCGCAACCGGCAGGUGACCUUCACCAAGCGCAAGUUUGGCUUGAUGAAGAAAGCCUAUGAGCUGAGCGUCCUGUGCGACUGCGAGAUCGCCCUCAUCAUCUUCAACCACUCCAACAAGCUGUUCCAGUACGCCAGCACCGACAUGGACAAGGUGCUGCUCAAGUACACCGAGUACAACGAGCCCCACGAGAGCCGGACCAACGCAGACAUCAUCGAGACGUUAAGAAAGAAAGGUUUUAACGGCUGUGACAGCCCAGAGCCCGACGGCGACGACUCCAUAGACCAGAGCCCCUUGAUGGAGGAUAAAUACCGCAAAGGCAGCGAGGAUCUGGAUAUCCUGUUCAAGCGAUACGGUUCCACAGUGCCCGCUCCGAACUUCGCCAUGCCCGUGACGGUGCCGGUGACCAACCAGAACACGCUGCAGUUCAGCAACCCGGGCAGCUCGCUGGUGACCCAGUCCCUGGUGACCUCCUCGCUGACAGACCCCCGGCUCCUGUCGCCGCAGCAGCCGGCCCUGCAGAGGAACACGGUGUCCCCAGGGCUGCCACAGCGGCCAGCCAGUGCAGGGGCGAUGCUUGGGGGAGACCUGAACAACACGAACGGAGCCUGCCCCAGCCCCGUGGGGCUGGCCGGAUCCGUGCUGGGUGGACAUGGCAAUGACAGCAGCAGUGACAGCCCAAGGCCACCCAUCUUUGGGGGAAAUGGCUACGUCAGCGCCCGAGCCUCCCCGGGUCUCCUUCCCGUGUCCAACGGCAGCAGCCUGGGCAAGAUCAUCCCGGCCAAGUCGCCGCCGCCGCCCGCACACGGCGCGCAGCUGGCCGCCAACAGCCGCAAGCCGGACCUGCGCGUCAUCACCUCGCAGAGCGGCAAGGGGCUGAUGCACCACCUGACCGAGGACCACUUGGCUCUGCAAAACACACAGCGGCUGGGUGUCUCUCAAGCAACUCACUCUCUGACCACACCAGUUGUUUCCGUGGCUACUCCGAGUUUGCUGACACAGGGGCUGCCCUUCUCAGCCAUGCCCACAGCGUACAACACAGAUUAUCAACUGACGAGCGCUGAGCUGUCCUCGCUGCCCGCCUUCAGCUCGCCUGGAGGGCUGUCCCUGGGCAACAUCUCUGCCUGGCAGCAGCAGCAGCAGCAGCAGCAACAACAGCAGCAGCAACAGCAGCAGCAGCAGCAGCAACAGCAGCAACAACAGCAGCAGCAGCAGCCACAGCAGCCGCAGCAGCAGCCGCAGCAGCAGCACCUGGUCCCGGUGUCACUAGGAAACUUAAUACAAGGGAGUCACUUGUCCCACACCACCACUUUGACUGUCAACACCAACCCCAACAUCAGCAUCAAGUCCGAGCCCGUCUCGCCCAACCGGGAGAGGAACACUGCCACCCCGCUCAGCACCUUCCCCCACCAGCCCCGCCACGAGCCCACCGGCCGCUCGCCCGUCGACAGCCUCAGCAGCAACACCAGCUCCUACGAGGGCAGCAGCGAGCGGGACGACCCCGCCCGCCCCGAUUUCGGCUCCUCCCUGGGCCUCCUGCGACCCACCAGCGAGCCCGAGGGGGAGAGCCCCUCCGUAAAGCGCAUGCGCUUGGAUACCUGGGUCACAUAACGGGUCCCCACAUCCCUGGGAGCUCCAGGAGGGGCUGGGAGGGGCAGGGGGGGGUGAAACGGGUGAUGGGGAUGGGCUGGGGUUGGGGGGGGAAGUUAUCAUAAACUGCCUGAGAAAUAGCUUUAGGAUUUUGUAGGCAUUCGUUCUAGCGCAGCAGCAGGCGACGCAUGCAGCACAUACGGCGCUGCUCGGGAGCGGCCGGGGCUGUGGGGACGGGGGGCUGGAGGGGAAUAUCCCCAAAUAUUCCUCACCAAAACCAGCAGCCCCUCAGCAGGACCUCCUGGGAUGUGGGGCCGCAGCCCUAAGGCAGAGCCGGCAGCGGGAUGGGCUCCAGGGGCAGACGGGGCUCAGAGCACCCCAAAAUGCACCUUCCUGGCCAUCCCCGUGGGCCCCUGUGCAGGGAGGGGCAGCUCAGACAUGAGGCAGCUCUCUGGAAGCUUGAAGGGCUUUGGUAGGCACAAGUUUUCCUCCAGGGGGGUUUUCCUCCAGCAGUUUUCCUAAAGGCGGAGGGCAGCUCGGAGAGCCCAGAUCUGAUACAGAGCAGGAUGCAGCCACAUCCACAGCCUGCUUGAGGCUCCUGGAUCCUGGGAAGCUGCAUGGGGAGUAAGAGGCAGAUUUUCAAAGCUUAAUCCCGUUUGCAUGACAAGUGGAUGCAGGCAGCAUCCUUCCUACCAGAGCAGGGAACUCCUCUGUUCCUGAGCAGGGUCAUUGGAACGUUGGAGUUCCCGUUUCCCAGGAAGGCUUCACCUCCACCUGGGCACAGCAGUUUGUGGAGAGGGGAUGUUAGUGCUGGCUUUGAGAGCAGGUCGUGGAUUUUAGCAAACAACAUCCACAAAAGCAUUUUGGAAAUGUGUUCCCAUUGCACGUGGGCCAAAGCUUUAAAUCAGGAAAACGGGAAGAGUUGAUUUUUUUACUGAAAGAUGCAACUGAAGUAAUGAUCCUAAUGAGAUUUUGCCUGAAGGUUUCUAGGCCUCAAAAGGCAGCAGUGAGCUGUGCAGAAAAUCUCCCUGAGCCUUGAGCAGUGAUUCAGUGAAAGGAAAACGGAAAAAACAAGGAAUUUCCUCAUGUUGCCACUUGCUCUGGCAGUUUCCCAGGGAUGGGUGUCAGCACCCUGAUCCCAAAAUGCAUCAUCCUGCUCGUGGCUGGAGGGUUUGGAGGAGAAGGGGCCAUUCCUGGCUGGCACAGCCGUCAGGGAUGGGCUUUCUCCCUGCAGGUGCUCAUGCUGGUCCCCUGUUCCCCUCCCAGCCUGCUGCCCUGUCACCCUGUGCAGGGCCACCCCAGCCCCACUGAGCCCUGGGCUCGCAGUCCCAAACUGGCACAAAACCUGCCCGGAUGCCACCUUUGCCAGCUGGAGCCUGGCCAGCCUUGGGGGGCUGUGGAGGAGCUGGGAGCUGCCUGGGGUUUGGCUGGACCCUGAGACAGAGCAAAGGGAGGGGAGCUGGGUCAGGGUGGGGUUUGUCCCCCUCCUGGAUCCCUCUGCCGGGUGUCAGCAGCCAGCUCAGCCUUGGAAUGGCAUAAAAACGUCCCAGGAUGAUGGCAAACCAGAAGCAAAUUUAUGGGGUUUGGUAAAUUUUUCGCAACCAAGCAUUUAUCACAAAGUUUCUAAUUGGAAAAACGCGACAAAAAAAAAAGCUGAUGAUUAUUGCGAAAUGAAUAGGGCGGCCUGAAGGGAGUGGUUGGAGGAGGAGAGGAAAUCCCUCAGAAGUUGGGUGAAAAUUAGAGACCUGAUGGAGGGGUCAGAGCGGUGGGUGGGUACCCUCACCAAGAUCCCUGCACGGAGAGACGUGCCAGGCAAAAUCCCCCCCUCCACACCUCCAAAGACCAAAUUUCUGCCGCGAAGGCUUUUCCAAAUGACCGUUUUAUUCUUUUCCAACGAUCACUUUGGAAUUCCCUCUCCUGUUCCCGUGCUCUGGGAAGGCCUUGGCUAGGCAAGAGGAGGAAAGGAGCCCUGGCAGGUUUUGUGCAGUUCCCCCGUGUGCCCUCCCCGAGCCAAAGGCAGCGGGCAGCGGGGUCUCCCCUCUGGAAUACCGGCGCAGAAGCGGAUCUCCUCCCUCCCUCCAUCCCUGGCAGCCCUUGGGGAAGCAGGAGAGAUGCUGAGGACCGUGGUCUUCCUCACCUGCACCGCCGCCCCGCCCCGGCCACGCCGGAUGUACCGGACGCGCACCUGAGCUCUUUGCACGGCCUUGCUUUGGAAAUUAGGCGGGAUAAUGACGUCUCAUCGCUCUCGUUUUUUUUGUAUUUUUGUUUUUGGUUUUGUUUUUCCUUCACAAAACAAUAAACUCAACCCAACGAACCGGGAGCAGCGUGGCAGGAGGGCCCAGCACAGACCUCGGCCGGGAGCGGCAGCGGAGACCCCCCGGCACUCGACGCAACCGUCAAGGGGGAAAAAAACCCAAAAAAACCAAAAAAAACCCCAUUUUUGCUCAUGAACUUCACGCCCUGACUCCCGAGUUCACACUUCUGCCUGGAAGCUGAGAGCCUGGAAGACGCAGGAGGCAGGAGACAGAGGCUGGGUUACUCAGAUCUGCCCGGGGCGGAUCUGCAGCUGCGGGACUCCAGCACCCCUGGGUGCCACGGGCAAGUACGGCUCGUGGGGAGGUGGGGUGGCCUCACCUCACACACGGCCUGGCUUCACCUUUGGGGGCUGCUUGUGGGGCUCUUCAUUUUCUUGGGGGCUUGGGGUUAUUUUAUUAUUAUAUUCUAUUUUUUUUUUUUUUUGUCCGGAUCAUUAUCCUUUAUCCCCCCCCACCCCAGACUGUAGUAUCUGGUAAACGCCUCCUAAUUUUCAAAAGACAACGAGAAGAAUGACAAUCUAAGAAACCAACACCCUCCUUUGUGCUUCUAUAAAUAUGUUUCUGAUCUAAUUUUAUUUCUCGUGCUCAUCUGUACUGUUGACAGUUACAAUUGUGUAUAAUUUUUUUUUUUUUUAAUUUGGAAUUUUUUGCGUUGUAUAGGGUUUAGUUUUAAAAUAUAUAUAUAUUUUCCAUUUUUUAAAAAGGGGUGUUGCAAAAAAAAAAUUGCACGAUUUAAAUGACAAUAGUUAAAAUGCUGCAGUUUUUAGAGAUGUGGAAGCAAAAUGGAGCUUAUUUAUUCUCAAAGGCUAUAAAGGUGUAAAAUGCAUGAAGAAAAAAAACAUUUACAAAAAAAAAAAAAAAAGACAAAAAAAGUGUAACCUGAACAAAGUGUAGCGUUAAAGAUUUUAAAGGAUGACAACAACAAGAAAAAAAGAAAAAACCAACAAAAAAACAGCUAAUAUAUUGUGUUUGGGCUAGUUUGCUUUUGUUUUUAAUUGUUCCUUUUUUGGAGAAUGAAAUACAUUUGUGUAUAUUUUCAUAUAAGAAGUAUGCACUGAGAUGUUUCCAAACUGAUAUAUUCCUUUCUAAACGUGUGGUUACUUACCAAAGUCUGUUUCUGAUCUUUACCUUCCGAACCCUCUGCGGAUCCCGCACCUGAGCACAGGUAAGCCGGGCUGGGGGCAGGGCGUGCCCCCUCCCCGCGGGGUGCCAGGGGGUGCCAGGGGGUGCCAGGGGGCAGAGCCGGGGGGCUGGCACGCCUGGGGGCUCUGACCCCCGCCCGGGAAGGCUGGACUUUCCCAGGGCUUGGCAGGGCUGGGUUUUGGGGGGCUGUGCCAGGGGCAGCGCUGCGGGGGCAGGUUCGGGGCACAGAGGAGGAGGAAGGAGGGGAGGAAGGAGACGACCACAAGGUGUGGCUCAGCUGCAGGAGCAGGGAUGGGGUGGGAAGUCGCUGCCCAGCCCUGGAGGAGGUCUGGGGAUGGAGCAGGACCCUAAAUAUGAUGGAUAGAGCCUAAAAUGCUGGGAAGGGCACUGAAAUACUGCCUGGGUGCAGUGAGGAUGGUGAUGGAUCAGUGGGCACGUCCUGCCCGCUCUGGGGGCUGUGCAGGUGGUCAGCUGGGGUUGAGCGGUCAGCGGGGAUCGGGUGGUCAGCUGGGAUGGACUGGUCAGCUGGCAUUGAGUGGGCAGCUGGCAUUGAGUGGUCAGCUGGCAUUGAGUGGUCAGCUGGCAUUGAGCGGUCAGCUGGCAUUGAGUGGCCAGCUAGGAUUGAGUGGUCAGCUGGGAACGGGUGGUCAGCUGGGAUGGACUGGUCAGCUGGGAUUGAGUGGUCAGCUGGGAUUGAGUGGUCAGAUGGCACUGAGCGGUCAGUGGGGGUGAGAUGGUCAGCUGGCAUUGAGUGGUCAGCUGGGAUCAGGUGGUCAGCUGGCAUUGAGUGGUCAGCUGGGAUCAGGUGGUCAGCUGGCAUUGAGUGGUCAGCUGGGAUUGAGUGGUCAGCGGAGAUCGGGUGGUCAGCUGGCAUUGAGCGGUCAGCUGGGGUUGAGUGGUCAGCUGGCAUUGAGCAGUCAGUGGGGGUCAGAUGGUCAGCUGGCAUUGAGUGGUCAGCUGGCAUUGAGUGGUCAGCUGGGAUCGGGCGGUCAGCUGGCACUGAGUGGUCAGCUGGCAUUGAGUGGUCAGUGGGGACCGGGUGGUCAGCUGGGAUUGGAUGGUCAUCUGGCACUGAGUGGUCAGCUGGGAUCGGGCGGUCAGCUGGCACUGAGCGGUCAGCUGGGAUCGGGUGGUCAGCUGGCACUGAGUGGUCAGCUGGGAUUGAGCGGUCAGUGGGGGUCAGAUGGACAGCUGGCACUGAGUGGUCAGCUGGCACUGAGCGGUCAGUGGGGCCGUGCUCAGCGUGGGCACAGGGUGACCCUCCCGAGGUGGCUUUGGGUGGCAGCGCCCGGCUGUGCAGGAUGUCUGCACCAGGGGCUGUGCAGGCUGGCAGUGCCCCGUGGGGUGUGAGGGGCACCCCAGCCCCACGGGGGUCACGGCUGUGGCAGGGGGGUCUGGGGGUCCCUUGGGGAAGGGGUUUGGUGCUGGGCUGUGUUUGAGGGCAGUGGAAGUGUUCAAUCCAGAGCUGGUGGCAAUGGGCCACGUGUGGGCCUGGGGAAAGCGGGGCAAAGAGAAAGAACACGUUUCCUUUUCCUUCGGGGCAAAGAGAAAGAACACGUUUCCUUUUCCUUCCUCCUUUUUCACUUCCCUCUUCCUCUCCAGAAUAAUUUCAGCAAACCAGGGAAAAAGUAAAUUGACAAAAACCCACAUUUUCCUUGAGUAUUUCACCUCCUACACUUUUUUCUCCCCUUGUGUUGCUUGGCUGGGGGAUUCCCCAUCACUUUGGGUGCGAAUUGGGAUGUUUGUCACCAGUUCUGGGGACAGGCUGUGAGCUGCUGUGCCAGCCCAGAGCUUGGCUGGGGUAAGGGGCACUUGCCCCUCUGCCCUCCUAGGGAGAGCAUCCAUCAGGUGGGGAAGGAGCAUCUUCCCAGCUCUCCUUGGCUCUGCCAUCCUGCCUCCCUUCUCUCCAGCUGGGGGCACAAUUUGGGGAUGUUCGGGGCAUUUUCACCACCCAAAGUGGUGAAAAUUCAUCCCCAUCCACCUCGCUGUGGGAGAGUGCCUAACAGUGGGCUUCAGCUGAAGGUUUGCUCUGGUUUCCCUUUCCCGUGUUCAUCCUUUUAUUCCACCUUCCCCUCUCACUUCACUUUUCUCUUUUGUUUUAUUUUCUCUUUUCCUUUCCACAAAAAAACCCAACCAGACCCAUAAACCAAGUAUUAUGUUUUCACUACCUCCAUCCAUCACCCUGCCGUGUCCAAUGCAGGAAGCCACGCUCGGGAUGUAAGAGGGCCUUUCCCCUUUAUUUUUCCCUUUUUCCUGGCGAUUUUCUCUCCCUUCUGUCCCUCUGCCCCUCCUCUCUCUGGUCUCUCACCUGUAGUAUUUUACCUGGCUACUGUAACUGUAAAUAGCGAGUUUCAAUCUGUUAGCAAUGGUAACAGUACAGAAAACUGGUUUUGGGGUUUGUUCUUUUUUUUUUUUUUUUUUUCCCGUUGUAUUGAUAUGAAAUGAGAUUAUAUUUUUGUCAGAGUAUAUUGUAAUAAUACUGACUUUGGACAUGGCCGAGUUGUACAGCGAUUUCUUGUUUAACCCUCUUGGCUCUUCCCGUGCACCCCCUCCCCAGGCUGCCCAAAUUUCCACGUCCCAGACCCAGAUCCUGGACAGGAGCAGCUCCUUGGCUCUGUAGCAGCUCCCCUCUCCUCCCCAGCCAGGGGAACAUCCCAGUGACAUCCCAGUUUCUUCCUCCCGAGCUCCGUUCUCCGGAGCGAUGCUGCUCGGGAUGUGCUUUACUUAAGCCAGAAGAGGGUGGUGUGGCUCAGGCUGCGCCAAAAUCAUCUCUGAACAGGCUGGGAAGGGGAAAUGGGGGAUUGAGAAUAUCCCUCAGGAUGGGAAAUUUUUGGGAAAUGAGGGAUUGAAAAUAUCCUUCAGGCUGGGAAGGUUUUUGGGGAAAUGAGGGAUUGACAAUAUCCUUAGGCUGGGAAGGUUUUUGGGGAAAUGAGGGAUUGACAAUAUCCUUAGGCUGGGAAGGUUUUUGGGGAAAUGAGGGACUGAAAAUAUCCCUAGGCUGGGAAGGUGUUUGGGAAAUGAGGGAUUGACAAUAUCCCUCAGGCUGGGAAUGUUUUUGGGGAAUGAGGGGUUGACAAUAUCCCUCAGGAUGGGAAGGUUUUGGGGAAAUGAGGGAUUGACAAUAUCCUUCAGGCUGGGAAGGGGAAAUAAGGGAUUGAGAAUAUCCCUCAGGAUGGGAAGGUUUUGGGGAAAUGAUGGAUUGACAAUAUCCUUCAGGCUGGGAAGGUUUUUGGGAAAUGAGGGGCUGACAAUAUCCUUCAGGAUGGGAAGGUUUUUGGGGAAUGAGGGAUUGACAAUAUCCCUCAGGCUGGGAAGGUUUUUGGGAAAUGAGGGGUUGACAAUAUCCCUAGGCUGGGAAGUUUUUGGGAAAUGAGGGAUUGACAAUAUCCCUCAGGCUGGGAAGGUUUUUGGGAAAUGAGGGGUUGACAAUAUCCCUAGGCUGGGAAGGUUUUUGGGAAAUUAAGGGUUGACAAUAUCCCUCAGGAUGGGAAGGUUUUUGGGGAAUGAGGGAUUGACAAUAUCCCUCAGGAUGGGAAGGUUUUUGGGAAAUGAGGGGUUGACAAUAUCCCUAGGCUGGGAAGUUUUUGGGAAAUGAGGGAUUGACAAUAUCCCUCAGGCUGGGAAGGUUUUUGGGAAAUGAGGGGUUGACAAUAUCCCUAGGCUGGGAAGGUUUUUGGGAAAUUAAGGGUUGACAAUAUCCCUCAGGAUGGGAAGGUUUUUGGGGAAUGAGGGAUUGACAAUAUCCCUCAGGAUGGGAAGGUUUUUGGGUAAGGAGGGAUUGCCAAUAUCCCUCAGGCUGGGAAGGUUUUUGGGGAAUGAGGGGUUGACAAUACCCCCAGCCCGACUGUCCCUGGGUGGGGAUGGGCGGCUGUGUCUCCCCCAGCCCCCCGCACCCACCCCAGGCCAUGAGGGUGAGAUGCAGAGAGGGAUUUUCUUCACUUCAAAUGGGUGUUCAGAGUGAGAUUUUCAUGCUGGUGCUGGCCCAGCUCCUCCUUCUCCAGGCAGGAACCCACCACAGAGCCGCAGGAGCAUCCCCAAACCCUCUCCUGGGACCAUGCUGGGAUGUCCCCAUGGGCUCCUGGCAUCUCCGAGGCUGGGAGGUGAAGCAGCCCCACCUUGGGCCAUGACUCCCCUCCUCCCCACGGCUCUUUCCAAGCAUUUGCAGGCAAAUCUGAUGCUGGAGAAGUGGGGAUCGUGGUGGCCCAGCUGCUGCUCCCUCCUCCUCCAUUCUCCCCCAUCCCCUUUGCUCCCCGUAGCUCAGUUAUGCAGGUAGGUGUUAGCAAACCUGGGGUGUCUGCAAAAACUUUUGUAAAAUAGAAUAAACCCUUGAAAUGAUGCACUAAAAGGAAAAAAAAAAAAAAUCAUAAAUGCCCCUUUCCCCUCAGCUUCUCUGUGUGAUGGUUCCUUGGAUGUCCCCGCUCAGCCCCACAGGCAGCUCUGCAUCCUCCCCCCAGGCUGCUGCACAGGUAGAAACAAACCAGGACGUGCACUUCCCCCGAGGAGUUUUAUUUAUUGUUUUGAGAAGCAAUUUAAAAGGGAAAAACAACAAAAAAAAAGAGAAACUGUAUCUAUAAUAUAUAUAUAUAUAUAUAUAUAUAUUUUUAACCUCUUUUUUUUUUUUCCUGAUGCUCCUCCACCCGUGUGUGUGGGUGUGUGUGUGUGUGCGAGUCAAGGGAUUUGGUGGCCAGGGCUGGCAGCUCGGGGCAGCCGUGGGGCAGCCGUGGGGCAGCUGUGGGGCAGCUGUGGGGCAGUUUUGGGGCAGUUUUGGGGCAGUUGUGGGGCAGCUGCCCCCGUCCCCAGCCGGAGCACAGGGACCAGGGCUCCCUCCCAUCCCAGCUCUCAGUGCCCAGCAGCAGCAGUGCGAGGGGAGGGAGGCUUUAUGUGGAGUUUGUAAUAUUUUAACCGGGAUUUUUGCCUAAUUCCAUCUUUCUCUGAAGUGUUUGCAACCCUCGGGCUCUGGCCUGACCGAGAACCUCCCGCGCCCUGGGGAUGUCACCCCCACUCCCUGUCCCCGUUCCCUCCCUACUUCGCUCCCUUGACAAUCAGUGGCUCCUUCCCAGGGACUGCAGCACGUGGUUGAGACGUCUAUUUCGUUUUUUCAAUAUUCCUUUUUUUGUGCUGUAUGGUGAUGCGUUAUUGUAUAUUCCACAAUAAGACAAAAAAAAAUAUAUAAAAAAAAUGAUAAUAAUAAUAAUUACCAUGAGAAAUUCUUAUGAGUUUUGUUUGGAAACUCUUUCACUAUAUUUGUUGUAAAGAGGUUUACUAUUAAAAAGAAAAAAAAAAAUACACGUUUCUGAUAA